rnacentral:rRNA from 1 species
AGGACGAACGCUGGCGGCGUGCUUAACACAUGCAAGUCGAGCGGAAAGGCCCUUCGGGGUACUCGAGCGGCGAACGGGUGAGUAACACGUGAGUAAUCUGCCCCUAGCUCUGGGAUAGCUCCGGGAAACCGGGAUUAAUACCAGAUACGACCACUUUAGACAUCUGCUGUGGUGGAAAGAAUUUCGGCUAGGGAUGAGCUCGCGGCCUAUCAGCUUGUUGGUGAGGUAACGGCUCACCAAGGCGACGACGGGUAGCCGGCCUGAGAGGGCGACCGGCCACACUGGGACUGAGACACGGCCCAGACUCCUACGGGAGGCAGCAGUGGGGAAUAUUGCGCAAUGGGCGAAAGCCUGACGCAGCGACGCCGCGUGGGGGAUGAAGGCCUUCGGUUGUAAACCCUUUCAGCAGGGACGAAGCGAAGUGACGGUACCUGCAGAAGAAGCGCCGGCUAACUACGUGCCAGCAGCCGC